AGUCACGUGCUUCCCUUGGUGCCUCCAAACCAGACACUGCCAACAGAUUACCACAAGACAAAAAAAUGCAAAGGCAUUGAUGAACUGUUGCAAAAAAAGUGCCGUGAAAAUAAUGUGAACUAAUUUGAAAAGGCCGACAUGCAGUGUUGUGGCGCGGGUGUGUUGGAUGCAGCCAAGAGCUGUGCUGUGCCUCCGUCAACGCUUCACGCCCCGGCUGGGAAUCCUGAAUCCAAGCAUCCCUCUACGCUCCGCCAGACAAGAAUACGUCGUUAAUUGAGGAUUUUCCUGAAUUCUAGUCCGUUGAUUUUCCAUGUGGCCGCUUGCAGUUUACGCGGAGUCGUGGCGAUCUGCUCCGUCCACUCCCUGCCUGUGUCUCGGGGUUAGACAUGUAAGGAAAGUGCAAUAUGGUGACUGGAGGCAAGGAGAUGUGAUGCUGAUUUGCUUUGUUCGAGUAUCUUACGUGACUUGUUGUGAUGUGACUGUGUGGAGCUUGUGGGGCGGUAAGACCUUGUGUGUGUGUAAUAAUAAUAAUAAUAAUAAACGGUUUAUUCUUUAGGCAUGUGUGUGUGUGUGUAUGUGUGUGUGUGUGUGUGUGUGUGUGUGUGUGUGUGUGUGUGUGUGUAUCGGAAGGGUGUUGCAUUAUUAUCCUUGUGCAAAACGUGUUAUGGUUUGCAACGGUGUCAAAUAUCAGUGUUUCUUAAUUGAUACCGGCAGGUUGUAGCGGAGCCUCUGUUACGUGAGAUACUGCAGAGAGUAUUUUACCAAUUGCAUCUGGCCUCUGGUAAUACGAAUGCUCUGUUGUAAGUCUUUCGAAUUCAAGCACUUUUCUCCGACAAAUAAUCCAAUAAAGGAAACAAAAAGCACUAAACUUUGACAUUUUAUGAAAGCGAUACAAGCACACCCAUCAAAUAUUAUCACGAAUUCCUGUUGUUGUGUAAAAUGACGAGUUGUUUCAUCGAUGCUAACCUGAGAACCUUUACGUGCUCAGCCUCAACAAUUAACACGUAAAUCUGAGGUGUUUUGUCGAUGGCUCGUGGGAUUUGAAGCUGCACGUCAGGAUGAACUGGGCACGUAUCCUAAACAAAUAUCUUUCUUCGUGCUUUGAUAAAGUAAAUGAGUGACAAGAACUCUACUACGUCUUGACUACACACACACACACACACACACACACACACAC